rnacentral:lncRNA from 1 species
GGCAUUUUAGCUUCUUUAAGCAGCUCCCUGAGGACUGGAGUCUGUGAUAAAUUCUGCAUCACUGCGUUGAAGAAACAUGUAUUCCCCAGGUUACUAAGUCCUUUCACAGUCACUUCAGAGCUGGUACUGGAAUGAGAACUCUCUUUCAGCAAAACUUCUUUUUGUUGCUCAUUUCUGCUGUCUUUUUCUACCUUUUUAUUUCCAACGUCUUUGUUCUCUUGUUGCUUUUCUAAAUGUGAUGAGUUGACACAAACUUGUUUUUUAAUAUAAUCCACAGUCUGGCCCAAACGUGUUGAAGUACUGUAUGGAACUUCAUUAUCACAUAUGUAGCACCACACACUCCAGUUGUCCAAACUGAGAACCAAACAAUGGGGAUCUGAUCUUGGCGUUGUGUAAUGCUUUAAAGCAUGCUGCUCUUGAGAAUUUCUG